rnacentral:piRNA from 1 species
UNCAAAGUGAUACUAUGCCACCAUGUUGCCG